rnacentral:tRNA from 1 species
GGAAGGCUGGCUGAGCGGUCGAAAGCGGCGGUCUUGAAAACCGUUGAUGCGAAAGUAUCCGGGGGUUCGAAUCCCUCGCCUUCCGCCA